rnacentral:rRNA from 1 species
UACGGAGGUUGCAAGCGUUAUCCGGAUUUAUUGGGUUUAAAGGGUGCGUAGGCGGAAUAAUAAGUCAGUGGUGAAAGCCUGCAGCUUAACUGUAGAAUUGCCAUUGAUACUGUUGUUCUUGAGUACAACUGAGGUGGGCGGAAUGUGUAAUGUAGCGGUGAAAUGCUUAGAUAUUACACAGAACACCGAUUGCGUAGGCAGCUCACUAAAUUGUCACUGACGCUGAGGCACGAAAGCGUGGGGAG